UACAGAGGUCUCAAGCGUUGUUCGGAUUCAUUGGGCGUAAAGGGCGCGUAGGCGGUCAGCACAAGUCAGUUGUGAAAUCUCCGGGCUUAACUCGGAAAGGUCAACUGAUACUGUGCGACUAGAGUGCGGAAGGGGCAACUGGAAUUCUCGGUGUAGCGGUGAAAUGCGCAGAUAUCGGGAGGAACACCAAUUGCGAAGGCAGCUCGCUGGGACGUUACUGACGCUGAGACGC
rnacentral:rRNA from 1 species